AGGCGAGAUAAAACAAAAUUACCGAUGCACCCACCGCACACUUAUCGUUUAACUCGGCUGUCGUCGUCUGGGUCGAUCAUUAUCUCAUUAUUCUAUUUAUCUUAUUUAUCGAAGAAAACACACAGCGAAGGCAUGCAGCACCCUACAUAUCUACAUUCUACAUACAUCUUCCCCAUAAUAAUCGCAUCGGUGAAACUCCACUUCACAAGGUCGCUCGCUCAGUCGUCAGUCGGUCGAAGUUUUCACACCACUUGGGGAGGAUUCGCCCAGUUUAGCAUCCCCCAUUAGUCGUUGUCGUCUUCUUCGAGUUUGAGUUCAUCAUUUGUCAAACCGCGUUAUCAGUUAUCGUGUGUCGCGCGUGGAAUCCGUGGAAACUGGGCGAUAGACUCUUUCGGUUGAAGUUUAUAACAACAUACCGACAUACUUCACGGAUUCUGCGGUGGAACGACGAGAGGGAACACGUCUCCUCUCAAGGGAACGAGCUAAAAUUAAUUGCGAUCUAGAUUAGUGCUCCAAUUUUCCCCUUCCGUCGCGAGUGCGCGUGUAAACCUCCUGAGGCUCUGAGCAGCUGUUGGCGUAGAUACCUAAGGAACAGUUUGAGAAAAGUUUGCACAUUAGGAGGAAUUGUUUCAAACUCUCCGAGAGCUCAUGCCCUCCCCAGCAGUGGAUGAAAACCUGACCACCUGUUUUGUCGCUGCUGGACCACCAUGCGUCUCCAUUUCCACCAGUCGGCCCAGCGUGCCUCCCGCCUUCACCAGCGUCAUCACAUGGUCUGCAGCCGGUGUUGAUGGUUCACGGUGCUUCCAAGAUCGUUAUUAUCAGAAAAAAAUCACUAUCAAUGUUUUGCUCACCUGUCGUUUUGUAUGGUGGUUACAAACAGGUUUCGCCUCUUUCUAUUCAGUGCAAUUGUGCAUCUUAUUUUUAGAAAUUUACAAAAUCCUGACCUGUCUUUCUUUGACUU